GAGUAAUGUAUAUACACUGUAAAAAGUCAUUCUGCAGGCUUGUAGAUUUGAUGAAAUUGAAUAUGUAAACUUUAUUUAAUAAAAUUAAUUUCAUGUAGUUUGGUAUUUUUUUUGUGUUAAAAUUCUUUAAAAAUGACUGGAAUAAAAACAACUUAUUGUUUUUAUGAAGGAUUUAGCUAUUCUUAUUGUGUAUCUGCGCAUGUAGCGAAUACUGAAUAAAUCCAACGUAAUAUUAAUCAGCUGUUUUAAAUCAAAAACCAUUCCGGGUUGAUAUGCAGGUCCUGAGCGCUGAGCAGACGGAUUUAGGAAAUAUUUCUGUUAUUGUGCCAAAAUUCAAAGUUUUGAAAGCAUUUCAGUCGAGAAUGUAUGUUUUUUAAACAAGAAUCUGCAGUAGGUUCAUAAAGAUAUCGCCUAUUUAAACAUUUCCUUCGAGUUUUGUGGCGAUGGGAGCUCCAGAUAAUCAGCGGGCGCUCCGCGCGUAAAUAUACGGGACAACGUCGCCUCACCUCGGCCAGACUCUCUGAAAAUCUCCGCUGGCUGUGACGUCAAUAUAGUGUUUAAACUGUGGAUAAAAUUCAUUUCGGGUAAAUUUAACGGGCAAUCUUUAGUCUUAUAAGUCUAUAAGCAGGGUUUCUUUGUAUAAUUUGUUUGUAAUUUGUAAAUAUUAAUUACAAUAAGGAUUAAUAUGAACUGGGUUUGGACGUAACUUCAGCUUUAGGACCCAGGAGAUCGCAUAUCUAGGAUGCAUUCGUCGAUUCACAUGCUGCGAUUGGUGGUCCAGAUGCAACUCAUUUUGAGUGACAGAAAAACUGACCAAUCAUACUGUUCCUCUGAAUGGGUGGGUUCUCUUAUCACUAACUCUCGUAGAUAUGUAAUAUGUAUGUCUAUUAUGACAAAUUCUGCUCGCUCGCUCGCUUGGUUCGUGUUUUGAAGAUAAAUGUGACUUUACUGCUGUCUUUUUCGGUUUAUUUAGUUUUGUGUUAAUUAUAUCCACAAAGUAUUACAAUUAAUUGGUAAUGUAAAACUAUUCUCCGCUGUAAAUUAAUUGUGUGCUCAAUUGCGACGCCCUGUGUUGAAUUUUCCCGCGGAAAACAUGAACAACCAUUGCUGACAGAAAUGUUUGACAAAGGCAUCUUACUGGAGUACAGUAUCAUUACUGAGGGGAAAUAUAACAUUAUUCAUUUAAUUCCACAAAAGGCAUGUACUGCAGUUUCCUGCAGACAACGUGAAUCAUUGCUAAGGGAGAACUUUAUUCACAACACAAGGAUAAAGAUGAAGAGGCGGGACUUGAGCAGCUUUUGUGAUGGCUGUAAUUGUAAAGAAUGGAUCUUCUAGGAGUGGAAGCCCAAAGGAUGCUGGAAUUGUUAUUGAGGCCUUAAAGGUGUUCCCAGGGCAUGCUUUAUCCUUGGAUCUAUGCAUUGAAUCUCCAGUAUCCCAGGCAUCUUUUCAGGUGUUUCAGAAACUUUUCUUGGAGCUGGAUUCUUCAAAGUUUAUGAACUGAUUACAGUACAGUAAGUCUAAACUGCUGUCUGAUUUUCUGGGUGUGAAUCAAUGUAACAGAACACAAACAUGGAACCUUUCGUCUGGAAAUGUGGACAGUUUUCUUUAAAGACUGUAAAAUACUAUUUGAAGUGUACACUGUUACAAAUACACCAUUAAAAAUGAGAUGCUUUCCUGUUCUUUUGACUGCAAUAAAAUAAGAAUUGAUUUAUCUUUGUCUGUCAUUCUGAAAUCAGAUAUAAUACUCAUUACUAAUAAAAAUAUUAAUGGAUGAUGUUAAAUUAAAAUAGUAUAAUUGAAUAGUAUUUAUUGUAUAGUGCUAGGUCUUUGUCCUGUAUACCCAAUAUUUUGUUUAAAUUUAAAUUAAUUUCUAAUUGCAAAUAGCAGUUAACCUUUUUGAAUGGGUUACUAUUAAAGAGUUUAUGGAGUGAUUCUAACACAAUUUUUAUUUGUUGAAUUUAAUUAAUGAUAUUGCUUGUAAUCUGUUGCCACACUUUUAUUGAGUAGAUAUGGCAUAAUAUUUUUUAUUGUAUAGUGCUAGAUCUUUUUCUAGUAUACCCAAUAUUUUUGUUUAAAUUUUAAUAAAAAAUUUAAUUGCAAAUUGCAGUUUGGCUUUUUGAAUAUGUUAAUAUUAAGGAGUUUAUAGAGUAAAUCUAAAUCAAUUUUGAUUUGUUGAAUGUAAUUAAUGAUAUUGCUUGUAAUCUGUUGCCACAAUUUUAUUGAGUAGA